GACGAACGCUGGCGGCGUGCUUAACACAUGCAAGUCGAACGGAAAGGCCCGCUUGCGGGUACUCGAGUGGCGAACGGGUGAGUAACACGUGGGCAACCUGCCCUCAGCUUCGGGAUAACACUUGGAAACAGGUGCUAAUACCGGAUAAUAACCUUUCAUCGCAUGGUGGUUGGUUCAAAGUUUUUCGGCUGAGGAUGGGCCCGCGGCCUAUCAGCUUGUUGGUGGGGUAAUGGCCUACCAAGGCGACGACGGGUAGCCGGCCUGAGAGGGCGACCGGCCACACUGGGACUGAGACACGGCCCAGACUCCUACGGGAGGCAGCAGUGGGGAAUAUUGCGCAAUGGGCGGAAGCCUGACGCAGCGACGCCGCGUGAGGGAUGACGGCCUUCGGGUUGUAAACCUCUUUCAGCUCUGACGAAGCGCAAGCGACGGUAGGAGCAGAAGAAGCACCGGCCAACUACGUGCCAGCAGCCGCCGUAA
rnacentral:rRNA from 1 species